rnacentral:rRNA from 1 species
AACGAACGCUGGCGGCAUGCCUAACACAUGCAAGUCGAACGAGACCUUCGGGUCUAGUGGCGCACGGGUGCGUAACGCGUGGGAAUCUGCCCUUGGGUUCGGAAUAACAGUUGGAAACGACUGCUAAUACCGGAUGAUGACGUAAGUCCAAAGAUUUAUCGCCCAAGGAUGAGCCCGCGUAGGAUUAGCUAGUUGGUGAGGUAAAGGCUCACCAAGGCGACGAUCCUUAGCUGGUCUGAGAGGAUGAUCAGCCACACUGGGACUGAGACACGGCCCAGACUCCGACGGGAGGAAGCAGUGGGGAAUAUUGGACAAUGGGCGAAAGCCUGAUCCAGCAAUGCCGCGUGAGUGAUGAAGGCCUUAGGGUUGUAAAGCUCUUUUAACCGGGAUGAUAAUGACAGUACCGGGAGAAUAAGCGCCGGCUAACUCCGUG